AUUUCUCUUUUCUCACUCUCUCGGCACUCUCUCUCUCCUCCUCUCCUCCGAAAAACUUCCUCCUCUCUUCUCUCUUCGAUUUCAUCUACCUAGGGGGUGAUUCCGGACAAGGCCCGAGAAUUAAAGUUGCUAUACGGCGCAUGGGCUUUCUGAAUAUCCAAGAAAAAUCAUGAUCGGACCGCGUGGGCGCUUGGUUGACUUGGUCAAAGGUUCGGGUUUUGCUCAAAACCCAUGAGGUACGAUUCAAGGAAGUUGACAUGGAGUACAUGUUGUGCAUUUGUGACCAAACCUUUAAAAAGGUAUUCAAGAAGGAUUUCAUAGCACAAGAUCUGAAAGAGCAUUUUUUUUUUGGAAAGAUAGUAUUUGUAAAAUGUAAUAUUUGAAUUUUAUUUGAGAACAGUGAACAAAAAGAUCUUUUGGGGUAUUAUUUGUAUUACAGAGAGGACUUUAUUUAUUAAAGUGUUUAUUAUUUAUGUUGAAAA